UUUGCCUAGUUAAGAAGGCUUUUGUUCAAACAUCAAGAUCUCUUGGAACCUUUGGCCAUUUGAUGUGUUUUCAAAAAGCUUACAUAACUCCUUUUAGCUCCACUUUUCUCUAAUUUUUUCCUUCUCUAAAAAGAGUCCCACCACUAUAUUCCAAGCCGUGAGAAUAGCUAGGAAGAUCUCUUGGUGGUCCUUCAUUGGAGCUAUUUGAAGAUUUUUGAAAAGCUACAAAGGAGAAUGGAGGAGUGAUGAGGUGGGAUAACCUCUCUCACAAUUCUUUACAGGUACAGAGAUUAGCAGGUAAUCUUGUGGUGGUGUCUGUACUCAAUUGGUUUUACAGAGAAGAAUAAUUCUUCAAAGGGCGAAAAGUGAAAACAUAAUUGUAGGUCCGCCAUUAUGUUGGAGCAUGGACUGAGAGUUGGAUGCUACUGUGGAAUGGAAGCAGCAAGAAAUAGAAUCAACUUGGGCAGAAAUUGAGGUUUAACCAUAUGGCAGUUAUGGGCUGUAUUGGCAGCAAGGAAAACAAUUUUCUGUUGGACAUUAAUUGAGAGAAUUAAUUGGUUCACCAUUUAUCUUGUUGAUCCUCAAUUUUGCCACCCCUACUCCCCAUAAAUUUGUGCCCUACCCCUUGACAGAAUGUCUCGAUAAAAGAUUUAAGGAUAAUGGCCACAAAUUUGAGUCGCUGAUUCCUACCCCGAUAGUAAUGAGGGAGAGGGCAUGUUGUUGAAUCCAUGGAAAGAUGAAUUUUCCGGCGAUUUCGUUGGUGCUCUACCCUUCACCACCAUUUUUCUAGGUGUUAUUGCACAAUGGAAAGUAUAAACCACAUCAAUUGAGAGACUCCAAAAAUCCGAACCAAUGACCCACAACCACUGUGACCACAGCAAAGGUAAAGCAGUCUGAGGAUUCUUCUUUGCAAGAUAGAACGUUCUGAUGGAAGUUGCCCCCGCGGUGGACAGGCCUGAUGCGAACCCGCCACAAUCGUCUAUUCUAGAACCUACAGCUGAACAUCUUACUUUUAGGACUCGAGAGUGACAUUGCAAUAUUGCAUUCUCCCUUUCUAGCCAAACCCAAGCGGUUCGCUAGUACGACUUCAAUUCACAAGGGUAAAUCUUGAAAGGGAAAGAUUGUUGUUCCAUUUAAGGAACAACGACAGGCUAAUAUUUCGGUGCAGGAACUAGCAAGUGAGAAGCAACAUAAAAAGCAAAAAAAGAAAAAAUGUGUUGUUGCAGGAGUAGACCACAUUUAAUCGCUUCAUCUAUGCUGUAGCAUCCUUACGAUUCAAUGAGAUCAAACACCUGAAUGUCUUUCAAGAAAAAGGAUUUCCGAUAGGAAAUUUACUAGAGUUCAUAUAGUCCAUGAUCACUAGCCACAAUUGGGAGCACUUCUUCAUACUGGAGGACCAAUGAACGAUUUGAAGACCUAUUGAUGUUGGAAAAAUAAUUUCCAAGAAAAUUGUUCAUGUGACGUGCAAACCAUCAAGGAAGUUAUUUGUUCCGAGCCUAAUCAUGACAUGGAAAAGUUCCUCAAUAGAUUUUGAACGAACGAGGAAAGUUCAUUUCAUACCAAUUGUUGGAGAGAGAAGUCAUCGGGUCGGGUAGCAAUAGGGGCAUUGGACGUUUGUGGCGGCAAGCUCUGCAAGGAAAGAGGAGAAGAAGGGGUGAGGGUGUGGAUGAACGGGGAGAAGUGAAGGUUUUUUAUAAUUAUUUUCAAUAAUUUUAAAUUGUCACAUCAUCUAUAUUUAUUAUUGAAUAGCUACAUUUUUUUU